GACGAACGCUGGCGGCGUGCUUAACACAUGCAAGUCGAACGGAAAGGCCCCUUUGGGGGUACUCGAGUGGCGAACGGGUGAGUAACACGUGAGUAACCUGCCCUUGACUUCGGGAUAACUUUAGGAAACUGGGGCUAAUACCGGAUAGGAAUCCUUGCUGCAUGGUGGGGGUUGGAAAGCUUCGGCGGUUUUGGAUGGACUCGCGGCUUAUCAGCUUGUUGGUGGGGUAGUGGCUUACCAAGGCUUUGACGGGUAGCCGGCCUGAGAGGGCGACCGGCCACAUUGGGACUGAGAUACGGCCCAGACUCCUACGGGAGGCAGCAGUGGGGAAUAUUGCACAAUGGGCGGAAGCCUGAUGCAGCAACGCCGCGUGCGGGAUGACGGCCUUCGGGUUGUAAACCGCUUUCAGCAGGGGCGAAGCUUGUGGUGACGGUACCUGCAGAAGAAGCACCGGCUAACUACGUG
rnacentral:rRNA from 1 species